GCCGGGGUGGCGGAAUGGUAGACGCAACGGACUUAAAAUCCGUUGGCCCAGUGGGCCGUGCGGGUUCGAGUCCCGCCCUCGGUA
rnacentral:tRNA from 1 species